rnacentral:rRNA from 1 species
UACGUAGGGUGCGAGCGUUAAUCGGAAUUACUGGGCGUAAAGCGUGCGCAGGCGGUUCGUUGUGUCGGCGGUGAAAGCCCCGGGCUUAACCUGGGAAUGGCCGUUGAAACUGGCGAACUGGAGUGUGGCAGGAGGGGGGUGGAAUUCCGCGUGUAGCAGUGAAAUGCGUAGAGAUGCGGAGGAACAUCGAUGGCGAAGGCAGCCCCCUGGGCUAACACUGACGCUCAGGCACGAAAGCGUGGGGAGCAAACAGG